rnacentral:lncRNA from 1 species
CCGCGCUGCUGGGACAGGUGUUCCUCCGCUUCGUCACCCACCUUGCCCCCAAGGCUCUUUUGUGAUUCAAAAACAAAACCCACAGUUUGUGAGUCAUUAAGGGAUCUGUGAUCUUAGUUUCUGGCAAUUUGUUUCAGGCCAUUUCACGAAAAAUCGGAGGCCCAUCAUUGUGACCAUGGGCAAUUUUCUGGGUCUCAUUUUCUCGGUCAGUGCUCUGAAAGGGCGGGACUUUGACAUGAGAGCUUCCCUGGUUUGCUUGAAAGCAGCAGGUCGUUUUCUGCACAGAAGAGGGCCAUUGAAUAAUGGGUAAUGGGGAGCCACUUGGAGGACAGCGAAUCCUUCUUGCUCAGCUGUGGCCUCGAGGACCCUCCUUGAGUCCCCUACCAAACAGUGUGAAAACCCACUUCCUGCAUGUGCUGGGCCUGCCCUACCAAGACCAGCUUCCUCCGGACUCCUGCCUUCUCGUCCUCUAGCAGUUUCCUGAGAGCUCGCGGCGAGGCUGAGGUCAGAGCCCCAGAACACAGAAAGCCGUGCGACGCGGCGAGAGACGGCGCCUGUCGCAAGGCCGGCGCGGGCCGUGGAUGCGCAGGGACAGAGCGCUCUCAGGCAGGGCUCGCGCGUCCCACCGUCGUGACCCUGCCUUUCACUGACCAACCGCUGGUCUACAGGGGUUCCGCUCCGCCCGCAGCGAGGCCACCUGAGAGUCCCUGUGCCCGUGGUGCCUUUUCUCCCUUGGCCUCCGAGUGCUCCUUCGGACACGCCGCCGGCACCGUCGUUCUGUUGACGGCUGCCGCCCAGAGACGGAUGAUGGUUCUCUGAACCAGAGUCCUGACCUGCAGCGCGGACUGCGUCUUCCUGCGAUACGGUGACUGUCUCUCCACGGCGUAGACCCUCUGUUCUCAGUAGUUCCUUACAGGUGACCUUUCUCCUCGCUUUUCACGGGCUUGCCGGUCCCACAGUCGUUUCACUGCAAAUGAGGUUUUGUGAUCGGGAAACUCUGCCCCCGUUUUAAAGCACAGAAGACACGGAGCCGUCGAGCACCGGCUGGCGUGUGCUGCCUCCCAGGCUGGGAGACUGAGUGCGGCGUUCAGGCAUUUGCUUUCUGGCUUUUCAGAAAUGCGUGCCAUCGGCCUGAACUUGACACACGUGGCUCCCAGCUGCAGCCGCACUGUGGAGAAUGGCAGCCCGCCCGUGGCCUCCCUGAGUGGACGCGUGACGCUGGCUGCCUUGGGGAGAAGGUCGGUGCGGACGUAGAAUGGAAGUCCGCCGGCCGGUGGAAGGGGAUGGGUCCGAACUGCCGAGUAGUUGGCCCCAAACAAGCAAACAAAAACACCAGAACUUGUGUUUGAAACAAUGGUUGUGUCUAUUUGCUGGUUGUGGAUAAUCACAUGUGCCCCUCUCCUCCAUGCGACUGCUUGGGAAUAAAUAGAUGGAUGAUUGUACGUGGCUCA